AACGAACGCUGGCGGCAGGCUUAACACAUGCGAGUCGAGCGCCCCGCAAGGGGAGCGGCAGACGGGUGAGUAACGCGUGGGAAUCUACCCAUCUCUACGGAAUAACGCAUGGAAACGUGUGCUAAUACCGUAUACGUCCUUCGGGAGAAAGAUUUAUCGGAGAUGGGUGAGCCCGCGUUGGAUUAGCUAGUUGGUGGGGUAAAGGCCUACCAAGGCGACGAUCCAUAGCUGGUCUGAGAGGAUGAGCAGCCACACUGGGACUGAGACACGGCCCAGACUCCUACGGGAGGCAGCAGUGGGGAAUAUUGGACAAUGGGCGCAAGCCUGAUCCAGCCAUGCCGCGUGAGUGAUGAAGGCCCUAGGGUUGUAAAGCUCUUUCACCGGUGAAGAUAAUGACGGUAACCGGAGAAGAAGCCCCGGCUAACUUCGUGCCAGCCGCCGCCGUAAAAC
rnacentral:rRNA from 1 species